rnacentral:rRNA from 1 species
AGUUAGUAAGACCCCUUGAAGACGACGAGGUAGAUAGGUGAAAGGUGGAAGCACGGUGACGUGUGGAGCUGAUUCAUACUAAUAGGUCGAGGGCUUAACCGAA